rnacentral:lncRNA from 1 species
GAAUAUCAUGGUUGAGCAAACAUUUCUUUUUAGUUAUUCAUUUUCAUUUACUUUCUUUUAUUUGUUUAUUUUAUUAAAAAUAUUUGUAAUUAUCAAAAAAUACAAAAAAAAAUAUGUGCUGAAAGGUAUUUGUGUCUAAUCUUUAUUUAUGAUUUUUAUUUUAUUUUUCUGUUUAGUUGCCUAUUUUUGGUUUUUUAUUUGCUUAAAUGUGUUUAUUUUGUAUUUUUUUUAUAUAGUUUGUAUAUUUUAAUUAUUUCUGGCCAAUUUAUGAACCCUAAAAAUCCCAAAAAAUAUUUUCAUAUUCCUUAGAGUUUUCUUGAACUUUUGGUGGUAUUGGAUCAAAUUUAUUUUUAGUUUUGAUUUGUUUUCAAAAUUGGACAAGAUUUAAAUGGUGUUUUGAGGUUUUAUGGCUUCUACAUGAAGUUUCAAUGUAAUUCCUUCACUUCCAUUGGUUAUAAAAAUUCAUAAAAAUAUUUUCUAGCUUUUGUAAGAUGUUAAGUUGAUGUUUGUUAUUUUUGUAGAUUUUUUUCUUCUGUUUUUGUACCUUGUUCAAAUUUAUUUUGUUCAAAGGUCUUUUUAGACUAGUUUGUAAACUAGUUUCAACUUUUCUUUUUGUUUUGGUGCUUCCUUGUUCUUUUGGCUUGAGAAAGGAUGUGCCUUUGAUUUGAUAGAGGUUUGUGCUCCUGUAAAUAUUUUUAUUUGGAUUUUAUAUCCUAUUUUUCUAUUUUCUUUAGUUUUUUUGAUCAUGAACAUCCCUUUUCCUAGUGUAAAUGGAUCCAAC